UACAGAGGGUGCAAGCGUUGUUCGGAAUUACUGGGCGUAAAGCGCUCGUAGGCGGAUCUUUAAGUCAGAGGUGAAAUCCCAAGGCUCAACCUUGGAACUGCCUUUGAUACUGGGGAUCUCGAGUCCGGGAGAGGUGAGUGGAACUGCGAGUGUAGAGGUGAAAUUCGUAGAUAUUCGCAAGAACACCAGUGGCGAAGGCGGCUCACUGGCCCGGUACUGACGCUGAGGAGCGAAAGCGUGGGGAGCAAACAGG
rnacentral:rRNA from 1 species